GACGAACGCUGGCGGCGUGCUUAACACAUGCAAGUCGAACGGAAAGGCCCUGCUUUUGUGGGGUGCUCGAGUGGCGAACGGGUGAGUAACACGUGAGUAACCUGCCCUUGACUUUGGGAUAACUUCAGGAAACUGGGGCUAAUACCGGAUAGGAGCUCCUGCUGCAUGGUGGGGGUUGGAAAGUUUCGGCGGUUGGGGAUGGACUCGCGGCUUAUCAGCUUGUUGGUGGGGUAGUGGCUUACCAAGGCUUUGAAGGGUAGCCGGCCUGAGAGGGUGACCGGGCACAUUGGGCCUGAGAUACGGCCCAGAGUCCAACGGGAGGCAGCAGGGGGGAAUAUUGCACAAUGGGCGGAAGCCUGAUGCAGCAACGCCGCGUGCGGGAUGACGGCCUUCGGGUUGUGAACCGCUUUCGCCUGUGACGAAGCGUGAGUGACGGUAAUGGGUAAAGAAGCACCGGCUAACUACGUG
rnacentral:rRNA from 1 species